UGUGCCCUACGGGAGGCAGCAGUGGGGGAUAUUGCACAAUGGGGGAAACCCUGAUGCAGCGACGCCGCGUGGGCGAAGAAGUAUUUCGGUAUGUAAAGCCCUAUCAGCAGGGAAGAAGAAAUGACGGUACCUGAGUAAGAAGCACCGGCUAACUACGUGCCAGCAGCCGCGGUAAUCCGUAUGGUGCAAGCGUUAUCCGGAUUUACUGGGUGUAAAGGGCGCGCAGUCGGCCCGGCAAGCCUGAUGUGCAAGCCCGCGGCCCAACCGCGGGCCUGCAUUGGGACCUACCGGGCUGGAGUGCCGGG
rnacentral:rRNA from 1 species